AGGAAAAGAAACUAACAAGGAUUCCCCUAGUAACGGCGAGUGAAGAGGGAAAAGCUCAAAUUUUGAAUCUGGUGUCUUUGACCCCCGAGUUGUAAUCUAGAGAAGUGUUUUCCGCUCUGGA
rnacentral:rRNA from 1 species